AGCUUCCAAGGUUUCCACAUACCAUAAUUCUCGAAGGUGGAAGCAUCCAUGUAGAUGGAGAAGGGACUUGCCUCACUACUGAGGAGUGCCUGCUAAAUAAAAAUAGGAACCUAAUUUGACGAAGGAGCAAAUAAAGGAUCAACUUAAGGCAUAUCUUGGAGUGACGAAGAUUAUUUGGUUCCCCCGUGGAUUGUAUGUUACAGGCACAAGACUUGCAGCUUCUUAUGUGAAUUUCUACGUUGCCAAUGGAGCAAUCAUUGCGCCACAAUUUGGGGACCAAAAAUGGGACGAUGAGGCUGUCCGAGUCCUAUCGAAAGCCUUUCCAUACCAUGAAGUCUAAACGGUACAAACAAGAAGCUGCAAAAUUUAAAGCUGAGAUAGGCAUUCAAUGCUAGAAGGAGGUCUUUCCAAUCAAUAGCUUCUUGGCCAAUCAAGACCAAACUUUGCCAAAAGUGCGAAUGCAAAGUGCUCUCUCUCUUAAAAAGAAGGCCAAUUGUGAGUGAGACAUUCGAGAUUUUGUA